rnacentral:lncRNA from 1 species
UUGGAUAGGUAACCAACCGUCAUCGCCGCAGUGCUGUUGAUGCCAACGGAAGAUGCUGCGAGAUCGGCUGAUUCUACGAUGACAGAGCUAUCUAUGCCAACUGAAGAUAUCACCGGUUGCUUUCACAGUGCUGUUGAUUCCAACGGAAGAUGUGUUAGCGAAAAGAGAAAAUAAAAAUCUUAAAGUUGCUGAGAGAGUUUGCGCAGGGCAGUUGUGUGUUGAAUUGGAGGUCAUUCUUCCGUUGCCUCUGCUUCUGUAUUUAUAGGGACAUAUGCGAGUUGGUUGAUAAGCUGAUAUAGGCUUCUGCCAUGUAUUAGAACUCUUCCACUGAUUCGUCAGAUAAGCCAUACUACCCCCAAGACUCUGAAUCUAGUCGAAAAUACAACCAAAUUCGAAUUCCAAGAUAACCCGCAAGCUUGGAUUUUGAACAAAUAGUGUUUAUCUAAACAACUACCAAUAUAUAUAUAUAUAUAUAUAUAUAUAUAUAUAUAUAUAUAUAAUUAUAUACAUAUAUAAUUGGUAGUCUUCCACAUGGCAUACACCACUGUAAUCCCACUAUAAAUUCUCAUGACUUUGCACCCAAUCCGACAACACCAUCAACAUGCAUUUGAAAAGCCUAGCCUAGCUAGGUUUCCUAUGUCAUCAUUAUCUAGGACCCUUACUUUUCUUUAGGUGAUGUCAGAUCCCACGUGCUGAUCUCCCAGCAACCCAAGUUAAUUCGAACUCGAACUCUGUUGUUGUUGCUUCCUUUUAUAUCCUGUCAUAUAAGAAAAGGAUAAAGAUAAUUAUUAUGAUAAAAAUCAUAACAUUAUCCCUCAAUAAUUACAAAACUAUCUUCACUCUUUGAUCGACGGUGUAGAAACACGCUUACUCAAUGGCCUUGAUUACACGGGCCGAUGGUGUAAAUUUGGGUCCAAACAUGGCUCUGUUAAAACCAAGGCUUGAAAUGAUGUUGUCAGCCAUGUCUUUAUCACACUUCUUUCUAACUUGACUAAAGCUAUGGUCAAAGAAACAUGUGGUCGAAACCUUCAAACUGUACCACCUAUGCCCCCUUUAUUUUCUUAAGCAUCGGCUAAGCAGCCGAAUGGUUAAGAAAAUUAGAUAUAUAUAUAUAUAUAUAUAUAUAUAUUUUUUUUUUUUUUUAGCAAAAGAAAACACAAGUGGCCGACCUAUCAAAAGGAGGAGGCCAACGAUGUUUUACUCCAAGCCGAGAUCUUUUUACAUCAAAAUUUUCACUUUGACAUUUUCUAAAGCCGAAUAAAAGAUUAUCUCCAAAUAUUUCCGACUUGGUGAAAUAUUUUUCAUUUUCGGCCGCCGAAUGUGUUGAACAAUUAUUAUGCCCUCCAGGCAUAAUUUCGGCUUUUAACUCGAAUAACUUAGCCGAAUGGGAUAUCUCUAUAUCGGCUUUAUCGCCAAUAACCAUAUCGACUGUCAUAGUUUCGACGUCUAAGACGAUGUCUCCAAUUACCAUAUCAAUUGAUGUGGUUUUAUGGUGAGAAGUUGUGUAUUGGUCUUGUUUGUCAUUGGAGCACUCCUCUGAAGAAUCAUUUUCUGAGUCAAUUUGUGGCUCAGAAAUUUGAACUUUUUCUUCUAGGCCUACCACACUUUCAAACUUGACCGAAAAAAUAGGUGGCCUUUGUUCUUCGGCCAAAUUAACAAUUUUCUUAGGCCGAAUAUUGGUUGUGGCCGGAGCGAAAAUUUUCCCCCCGGCCUCUUGCCUUUCAGAAAUUCUUCCCAAACUCUCGAGGAGUUGUUUUUGCUUCUUUAAUAGGAGAUGACACUCUUCCUAAUAAAGCCUGAUCGAGAUAGAUCAUGUGAACUUCGUAGUUUUAGCAUUGGGUCUCACUGGGCGUGCCAAAAUGUUGACCCUAAAAACUACCAAGCCUACGUGGGGCGCAGGCCGAGUAAUCUAUAAACUAACUACGUCCUUCGGUGAAUGCCGGGCGUGCUAACUCAUCGGCCGAGCUCGGCCGAGGAGUAAAUUUAUUGAUGUUGUGUUGGGUGCGCGGCUGACUUCUGCGUCUUGCAAUUGCGACCGAGGAAGGAACACGUCUCGGCCUCUUGGGUUCUCGAACCUGAAGACAAGGCUACUAUUCUUACGAAGUUCAAUAUCAAAUUCAGUUUUCAAUGUGCCGAAUGUAAUAACUUGUAACACCUCACUUCGUCGAGAAAGCUAAUGAGAUGACCUCGACCAAUAAGGAUUCGGAAAUCCUUCCCAACUGAGACUUGGAUAGGUAACCAACCGUCCUCGCCGCAGUGUUGUUGAUGCCAACGGAAGAUGCUGCGAGAUCGGCUGAUUCUACGAUGACAGAGUUAUCUAUGCCGACUGAAGAUAUCACCGGUUGCUUUCACAGUGCUGUUGAUGCCAACAAAAGAUGUGUCAGCGAAAAGAGAAAAUAAAAAUCUCAAAGUUGUUGAGAGAGUUUACGCAGGGCAGUUGUGUGUUGAAUUGAAGGUCCUUCUUCCGUUGCCUCUGCCUCUGUAUUUAUAGGAACAUAUGUGCGUUGGUUGAUAAGCUGAUAUAGGCUUCUGCCAUGUAUUAGAACUCUUCCAUUGAUUCGUCAGAUAAGCCAU